UUUUGUAUCACUUUAUUUUGAAUUUUGAAUUUACAAUGGAUUUGGCUAGAUAGGCCAAUGAUACAGUUUGGAGUCACUAUGAAGAUUCACAAGGUAUUGAUUCCUUAUUCUCAACUAACCUAUAUUCCUCCAGCUCUAUUUUGCUUUUACCAUCUUCAACCAUUAAUACUAAAUUCAAAGAUAUCUGCUUUGGUGUUGAAGAACCCGAGUCUGCAAACCUCUGUACGCAGAAGGGUUUCAGGGUUCUGCCCAGAAAAUACAGAGAACAAUUGAGCUCCAUUAAAGCAAAUGGAAAGUGCAGCACAUGAAUACUGCUUGAAGCACCAUUACCAAACUCAUGAACACCAAACAAGACUACAGUCGGUCAAACAAUGUAGUUGAAGAACAAUUAGAUCAUACUUUUUCUGUCACUACUUAAUUCCAAUCUGUUCUUGACCUGGAAUCCAGCUACCCAAAUUCAUCAAACACCUUAAUUCUCCUUUUAAACAACAGCUUAGCCUGCAAUUAUCUUAACACAGAGAUUUCAAACCACCAUGAAAAUGUUCAUCCAUGUCUUCCCCUGCAUUCUUUCUUUAAUCUCCAUCGCUUUGAUCCAUUUCCCAUCUCAUACAGGUAACUACUAUUAUAGCAAUUAUUCUCCUAGUCAUUUCAACCAUCUUGAUCAUGGUUAACCAGCAUUAAGAAAAGCUUAAAGUAAUUGAAUCAACAUUGUUAAUGUGGCUCACUUGUUUUUCCAGUAGAUGCUGCACCAGUGGGAGUGUGCUACGGCAGAGUAGCCAACAACCUGCCACUUCCAGCUACGGUGGUGGGAC
rnacentral:lncRNA from 1 species